UAACAAGGAUUCCCCUAGUAACUGCGAGUGAAGCGGGAAGAGCUCAAAUUUAAAAUCUGACAGUUUCACUGUCCGAGUUGUAAUCUGGAGAAGCAUUUUCCGUGUCGGACCGUGUACAAGUCUCUUGGAAUAGAGCGUCAUUGAGGGUGAUAAUCCCGUUCAUGACACGGACUACCGAUGCUUUGUGAUAUGCUCUCGAAGAGUCGAGUUGUUUGGGAAUGCAGCUCAAAUUGGGUGGUAAGUUCCAUCUAAAGCUAAAUAUUGGCGAGAGACCGAUAGCGAACAAGUACCGUGAGGGAAAGAUGAAAAGCACUUUGAAAAGAGAGUUAAACAGUACGUGAAAUUGUUGAAAGGGAAACGCUUGAAGUCAGUCGCGUUGAUUGGGACUCAGCCUUGCUUUGCUUGGUGUAUUUCCCUUUUGACGGGUCAACAUCAAUUUCGGUUGGUGGAUAAAGGUAGAGGGAAUGUGGCACCUUCGGGUGUGUUUAUAGCCCUUUGCUGCAUCACUGACUGGGAUUGAGGAACGCAGCACGCCUACAUGGCCGGGGGUUCGCCCUACGUAACGUGCUUAGGAUGUUGGCAUAAUGGCUUUAAGCGACCCGUCUUGAAACACGGACCAAGGAGUCUAACAUGCUCGCGAGUGUUAGGGUGGAAAACCCUUGCGCGUAAUGAAAGUGAAAGUUGGGACCCUUCGCGGGGGCACCGACGCCCGGCCCUGAAGUUUACUGACGGUGCUGCGGUAGAGCGCGUAUGUUGGGACCCGAAAGAUGGUGAACUAUGCCUGAAUAGGGUGAAGCCAGGGGAAACCCUGGUGGAGGCUCGUAGCGAUUCUGACGUGCAAAUCGAUCGUCAAAUUUGGG
rnacentral:rRNA from 1 species